rnacentral:lncRNA from 1 species
CAUGAUGUAUCUUGUCUCUUAGAGUUAUGAGAGAAAAGAAAAGAGACAAGAUGGAAAAAAAAAGAAAAAAAAAUGAGAGAAAUUAAAAAAUUGUGAAUAAAGGAGUCAGGAAGAGGAUGAAAUUAGAGGUUUGGGUGUGUUUGAAUGUGUUUACACUUGUUCCCCAUUGCUCCUCUAUUUCUCUUGGUUUGUAGCUUCUCAUCCAUAUGUAUUCUUCCUUAUCCUUGGCCCCAU